ACUCAUACAUGUCACAAUUAUUUCAGUUUCUAGAAAAUAUAAUUUUAGGCCAACUUGGGAAAACUAUAUACACAUCAGCAAAAGUAAAAUUUCAUUUUUGAAGUAUUUUAUUUAAGAAAUUAAUCUAUGUUUGUAUAUUUCAUAAAAUAAUACCUUAUUAUUCAGAAAUUAGUAUAUAAGAGGGAGAAAGGGAAGAAGAGAGAAACAUGCUUGAAGCUUCUCUAGUUUCAUAGGUCCUUUCAAAGCAAAACCAUUUUCAACUCACAAAAGUAGAAGCCAUGGCUGCAUCUUUCUCUGUCCCCUCUAUGAUAAUGGAAGAAGAAGGGAGAUUCGAGGCGGAAGUUGCGGAAGUGCAGACUUGGUGGAACUCAGAGAGGUUCAAGCUAACAAGGCGUCCUUACACAGCCCGUGACGUGGUGGCUCUACGUGGCCAUCUCAAGCAAGGUUAUGCUUCGAACGAGAUGGCUAAGAAACUGUGGAGAACACUCAAGAGCCACCAAGCCAACGGCACGGCGUCUCGCACGUUCGGUGCUUUGGACCCUGUUCAGGUGACCAUGAUGGCUAAACAUUUAGACACCAUUUAUGUCUCUGGUUGGCAGUGCUCGUCUACUCACACCACCACGAACGAGCCUGGUCCAGAUCUUGCUGACUAUCCGUACGAUACCGUUCCUAACAAGGUCGAACAUCUCUUCUUCGCUCAGCAGUACCAUGACAGAAAGCAGAGGGAGGAGAGAAUGAGCAUGAGCAGAGAAGAAAGAACAAAAACUCCUUUUGUGGACUACCUGAAGCCCAUCAUCGCCGACGGAGACACCGGCUUUGGCGGUACCACUGCCACCGUAAAACUCUGCAAACUCUUCGUUGAAAGAGGAGCCGCUGGGGUCCAGACCAGUCCUCCGUUACCAAGAAGUGUGGCCACAUGGCCGGAAAAGUCCUCGUGGCAGUCAGUGAACACAUCAACCGCCUUGUUGCGGCUCGGCUCCAGUUCGACGUGAUGGGCACAGAGACCGUCCUGGUCGCUAGAACGGACGCGGUCGCGGCCACUCUGAUCCAGUCGAACAUUGACUCGAGGGACCACCCGUUCAUCCUCGGUGUCACUAACCCAAACCUUAGAGGCAAGAGUUUGUCCUCGCUUCUCGCAGAGGGAAUGGCUGUAGGCAAGAACGGCCCGGCGUUGCAAGCGAUUGAGGAUCAAUGGCUUAGCUCGGCCUGUCUAAUGACUUUCUCGGACGCUGUCGUGGAGGCUCUCAAGCGCAUGAACCUCAAUGAAAAUGAGAAGAGCCGGAGAGUGAACGAGUGGCUAAGCCAUGCAAGGUAUGAGAACUGCCUGUCAAACGAGCAAGGCCGAGAAUUAGCCGCAAAACUCGGUGUGACGGAUCUUUUCUGGGACUGGGACUUGCCCAGAACCCGAGAAGGAUUCUACCGGUUCCAAGGCUCAGUCACAGCGGCCGUGGUCCGUGGCUGGGCCUUUGCACAGAUUGCUGACUUAAUCUGGAUGGAAACCGCAAGCCCCGACCUCAACGAAUGCACCCAAUUCGCAGAAGGAGUCAAGUCCAAGACACCAGAUGUCAUGCUUGCUUACAACCUCUCACCGUCAUUCAACUGGGACGCUUCCGGUAUGACUGAUCAGCAGAUGAUGGAGUUCAUUCCACGGAUCGCUAGGCUCGGUUAUUGCUGGCAGUUCAUAACUCUUGCGGGUUUCCAUGCUGAUGCUCUUGUGGUCGAUACAUUUGCAAAGGAUUACGCGAGGCGAGGGAUGCUGGCUUAUGUGGAGAGGAUACAGAGAGAAGAGAGGAGCAAUGGGGUUGACACAUUGGCUCAUCAGAAAUGGUCAGGUGCUAAUUACUAUGAUCGUUAUCUUAAGACUGUACAAGGUGGAAUCUCCUCCACUGCAGCCAUGGGCAAAGGUGUUACUGAGGAACAGUUCAAAGAGAGUUGGACGAGGCCGGGAGCUGCUGGAAUGGGCGAAGGGACUAGCCUUGUGGUAGCCAAGUCCAGAAUGUAAGUGUACGGCCAAAGCGGUUUGGCAUCUUCGCAGGGAAACAACUUGGAAACUACACCAUCUUUAAUAUAUCUUUGGACACCUGAGUAAGAAAAGAAAAAGAAAAAGAAUAAGAAAAAACAGAUAAUAAAUGUAUAUUUUGUUAUUGUGUUCCCUUCUUCUACGUUUGCUUCUUUGUAUGGAUAUUUGGACUGUUUUGGCACUCGAAAGGUGCACAAUAGUCAAUACCAAUAUGGGACCAUCCGUUCG